rnacentral:rRNA from 1 species
UACGGGGGGGCAAGCGUUGUUCGGAAUUACUGGGCGUAAAGGGUGCGUAGGCGGCUUUCUCAGUCGGAUGUGAAAACUCUGGGCUCAACCCAGAGCCUGCAUCCGAAACUGGAGAGCUAGGGUUCUGGAGGGGAAAGCGGAAUUCCUGGUGUAGCGGUGAAAUGCGUAGAUAUCAGGAGGAACACCGGUGGCGAAGGCGGCUUUCUGGACAGAUACCGACGCUGAGGCACGAAAGCUAGGGGAGCAAACAGG